CUGAAUAGGGCGCAUAAGUAACAGGUCGUAGACCCGAAACCAGGUGAUCUACCCAUGUCCAGGAUGAAGGUAAGGUAAUACUUACUGGAGGUCCGAACCCACGCACGUUGAAAAGUGCGGGGAUGAGGUGUGGGUAGCGGAGAAAUUCCAAUCGAACUUGGAGAUAGCUGGUUCUCUCCGAAAUAGCUUUAGGGCUAGCCUCGAGGUAAAGAGUCAUGGAGGUAGAGCACUGUUUGGACUAGGGGCCCUUCUCGGGUUACCGAAUUCAGAUAAACUCCGAAUGCCAUGUACUUAUACUCGGGAGUCAGACUGCGAGUGAUAAGAUCCGUAGUCGAAAGGGAAACAGCCCAGACCACCAGUUAAGGUCCCCAAAUAUAUGUUAAGUGGAAAAGGAUGUGGGGUUGCUUAGACAACCAGGAUGUUGGCUUAGAAGCAGCCACCAUUGAAAGAGUGCGUAAUAGCUCACUGGUCGAGUGACCCCGCGCCGAAAAUGUACCGGGGCUAAACAUAUUACCGAAACUGUGGAUGAACCUCUUUAGAGGUUCGUGGUAGGAGAGCGUUCUAAGGGCGGUGAAGUCAGACCGGAAGGACUGGUGGAGCGCUUAGAAGUGAGAAUGCCGGUAUGAGUAGCGAAAGAAGGGUGAGAAUCCCUUCCACCGAAUAUCUAAGGUUUCCUGAGGAAGGCUCGUCCGCUCAGGGUUAGUCGGGACCUAAGCCGAGGCCGAUAGGCGUAGGCGAUGGACAACAGGUAGAGAUUCCUGUACCAGUGCUAAUUGUUUAACCGAUGGGGUGACACAGAAGGAUAGGGAAUCGCACGAAUGGAAAUGUGCGUCCAAGCAGUGAGUGUGAGAAGUAGGCAAAUCCGCUUCUCGCGAAGCAUGAGCUGUGAUGGGGAAGGAAAUUAAGUACGGAAGUUCCUGAUUUCACGCUGUCAAGAAAAGCCUCUAGGAAGAGUAGUACUGCCCGUACCGCAAACCGACACAGGUAGAUGAGGAGAGAAUCCUAAGGUGAGCGAGAGAACUCUCGUUAAGGAACUCGGCAAAAUGACCCCGUAACUUCGGGAGAAGGGGUGCUCUAUUAGGGUGCAAGCCCGAGAGAGCCGCAGUGAAUAGGCCCAGGCGACUGUUUAGCAAAAACACAGGUCUCUGCAAAACCGUAAGGUGACGUAUAGGGGCUGACGCCUGCCCGGUGCUGGAAGGUUAAGAGGAGUGCUUAGCUUCGGCGAAGGUACGAAUUGAAGCCCCAGUAAACGGCGGCCGUAACUAUAACGGUCCUAAGGUAGCGAAAUUCCUUGUCGGGUAAGUUCCGACCCGCACGAAAGGCGCAACGAUCUGGGCACUGUCUCAACGAGAGACUCGGUGAAAUUAUAGUACCUGUGAAGAUGCAGGUUACCCGCGACAGGACGGAAAGACCCCGUGGAGCUUUACUGCAACCUGAUAUGGAAUGUUUGUACCGCUUGUACAGGAUAGGUAGGAGCCGAAGAGACGUGUGCGCUAGCAUACGAGGAGGCAAUGGUGGGAUACUACCCUGGCUGUAUGACCAUUCUAACCCGCCACGCUUAGCGCGUGGGGAGACAGUGUCAGGUGGGCAGUUUGACUGGGGCGGUCGCCUCCUAAAGAGUAACGGAGGCGCCCAAAGGUUCCCUCAGAAUGGAUGGAAAUCAUUCGCAGAGUGUAAAGGCACAAGGGAGCUUGACUGCGAGACUGACAAGUCGAGCAGGGACGAAAGUCGGGCUUAGUGAUCCGGUGGUUCCGCAUGGAAGGGCCAUCGCUCAACGGAUAAAAGCUACCCCGGGGAUAACAGGCUUAUCUCCCCCAAGAGUCCACAUCGACGGGGAGGUUUGGCACCUCGAUGUCGGCUCGUCGCAUCCUGGGGCUGUAGUCGGUCCCAAGGGUUGGGCUGUUCGCCCAUUAAAGCGGCACGCGAGCUGGGUUCAGAACGUCGUGAGACAGUUCGGUCCCUAUCCGUCGCGGGCGCAGGAAAUUUGAGAGGAGCUGUCCUUAGUACGAGAGGACCGGGAUGGACACACCGCUGGUGUACCAGUUGUUCCGCCAGGAGCAUCGCUGGGUAGCUAUGUGUGGCAGGGAUAAACGCUGAAAGCAUCUAAGCGUGAAGCCCCCCUCAAGAUGAGAUUUCCCAUUUCUUCGGAAAGUAAGAUCCCUGAAAGAUGAUCAGGUAGAUAGGUUUGGAGUGGAAGUGUAGCGAUACAUGGAGCGGACAAAUACUAAUCGAUCGAGGACUUAACCAAAA
rnacentral:rRNA from 2 species